AGAAUAGUAUUAUAAAUAAUUUAAAUCUAAUCUGCAAUUAGAAAAUGCUGGGAGCCUAUUCUA
rnacentral:tRNA from 1 species